rnacentral:pre_miRNA from 1 species
GGAGGAUUACUGAUAUAUUCUAGCACGGCAAGAGAGGUGGCAAGCCUCAUGUACAGGCACAGGCAAGCCAACCCUGGGGAUCAACUCGUUCAGUUGAACUGAGCUAGCUGAGAGGGUUGGCUUGCCUGUGCCUGUACAUGAGACUGAGCCGAGAUUAAACCCUAGGGAUCGACUCG